rnacentral:rRNA from 1 species
UACAGAGGUCUCAGGCGUUGUUCGGAAUUAUUGGGCGUAAAGAGCGUGUAGGCGGCCAGGUAGGUCGGUUGUGAAAACUGGAGGCUCAACCUUCAGAGGUCGACCGAAACCAUCUGGCUAGAGUCCGGGAGAGGAGAGUGGAAUUCCUGGUGUAGCGGUGAAAUGCGCAGAUAUCAGGAAGAACACCCGUGGCGAAAGCGGCUCUCUGGAACGGUACUGACGCUGAGACGCGAAAGCGUGGGGAGCAGACAGG